GCCCCUAUAUCAUCGCAGCUGAUGCUCCAUUUCCAACCAGAUUUUAUUUGUCAUGUAUAAGAAAAUUACAUUCCAAAAUAAUAGACCUGCAAUAUCCAGGGGUUCUAGAACCACAAAUUCGUAACAAGUGUUCCUUCAUAAGCAGAGCCCCAUUUUUUUAUCCUUAAGUGCAUACAAAUUUACUUAUCUACAUUCGACGGAGAUGGCGUCCUAUUUCGACCAAUCUGAACCCCCUUCAAAACCUCAAGAUUCCAAUUCAAUUUUACAAGAUUCCAUAAUCCAACUUAAUUUUAAAGAACCAUUAAGUUUCUCCGUUCAUCCAUUCGCCAAAAACAUACAGCGCUGGAGGCCCGACUAUCUAACAGCAUACAUGGACCAUGAAGAAUCAAAAUGUUGCCAAGGCUGUAUGAAAACAGUAAACCGUAAAAUAACCGAAAUUAACGAUAAGAAGACAUUUAACCAAAUGAUGAACCACUUAAUUGGCCAACCCGUUAUCGCCGUUGAUCUCGAACAUCACGAUGCCAAUUCAUACUCGGGAAUAACGUGUCUAAUCCAAAUUUCUACCAUAACCCACAACUUUCUAAUUGACCCCUUCCAGCUAAACGAGGAAAUUAAGUCCACCUUGAAACACGUGAUGGAAUGUGAACACCCCAUAAAAAUAAUGCACGGCUGCUACAAUGACUUAAGAGUUAGCUAUAUUUGAUGUUAAACCAAUCCUCAUAAAUCACAUAGUGGCGAAACUGAUGAACUCGGUGGGGUAUAAAGUUCACAAGUUUCGGUGGGAAUUUUGAAUUUUUUGCAAAAAACUGCAAAUAUCAUCUGGAGUUGUUUACAUUUUUAGUGGUUUCCAGUGGGAAGAGUAUGUGUGGUGGUGGCUUUCCUCCACACAUACUCUAUGACCAGUUGAGACGAGUCACAAAAAAUCAGAUUUCUGGACCCAUGCGUAACAUGGAGAGGAAAUGCAGAGCUCUUCUCGCUCAAUAGAGUGACGAGAAAAAAUAUAACGCAGGCUUAAGAUGGAUGCAGAGAGACUACAACAUUUUUGCUUGGCCGGUAAUUGACACGCAAGUUAUUUACCGAACCCUUGCUCGACUCAAUGGGAAAGCAUCGGAACCAAUGAUAUCACUUGAAAAUUUGAUGAAGACAUAUUUUCCAAGAGAAAAAUUUGACAAAUCCUUUGAACUGACGUUAUCAGAUUUCCGAAUUCGUCCCCUUCCUGACCACCUGAAAAAAUACGCAGUUCAGGACACUUUGUACUUAUCAGGAAUAUUUUCCCAAGGAAAGAGAGGCAAAAAGAGGCAAGAAUUUGAAGAUGACGAGCAAUUUGAUGCAGCGUUAAUCGUUUGUGUAAACGAGCUUGCAACAAAAAAGGCUCUCUACACGGGUAAAAUAUACCCCACCGUGGAACAAGAAAUGACAUCUUUUCGCAUUACAAGUUGUCAAGAUAAAUCCAAAGCGUUGCACGCCUGGCGACAUAGAGUAGAUUUUUAAAGUAUUAUACAGUUUUAUUGAUUAUGACACCGUAGAGGCGGUCACGAAAUUAAUGUGAAUUGGGUAGUGCCCCCUUGACACGGCUUCGUAAUUGGUCUUGUUAGUACCUACUGGACACCGAUACAGUAGAUGCCUAUACAUAUAUACAUACACAUGUAUGUAUGUAUGUAUAUUUGUACGUACGUGUGCAUACAUAUGUACAGUCCGUUUAUUUACGAUACGACCCUCGACGUCAUCACUCUCAUUACUAAUAGCAUUGCAGUGAUGACGUCGAGGAUCGUAUCGUAAAAAAACAGGAGUAUGUACCCCUGUUUAAUUCAUGAGCUGAUCUAACUAACUAAAACUGCUUGAAGACUGGAAAGUUUUUUCAAGGAUUUUAAAUCCCAGGGUAUCUUAUGUACCAACUUUGUUUAAACUUUACAAAAUAAACUCUUACUUUGAAUUCCAAUCUAAAUCGAAUAUUCGAAACCAGAAUUUGCCUGAAAACCUGAAUGGAUACAUGUACAUAUUUGUGCACAUAUUUAUGUACUUCCAUGUCCAAAUUUACUGAAUUUCUAGCACCGUAAAGAAAGCAAAGUGUUGUUCCAAAAACGUACAUAGCCUAUCAGCAUACAUACUUAUAUAUAGUAGUAGUAUGGUUUAUUAUUACUGUGUUAAGACAUAAAUCAUUACAAUUAUUUCCAAUAUCGAACACAGGUUGCAAUAAGUCAGUAUAAAAUAACUAAAAAUUGAAUCUAAUUAAGUAAGUUUAACAAAGUAUGAUCAUUUCAUUUGUGGUUUAAGAGUAAAAGUUUGUUUACAGUGAGUAUUUCUGGAAUACAAAUUCGUCAUUUGGUUUUUGUAAAAUUAACUGGCGUAGGGCUCUGUCAAAUUCUCCGGAGGAUUUAAUUUCUUUGAUACUUGUAGGCAAAUUAUUCCAAUACUGAGUGGCCCAAUAAAAAAACGACUUCUUCCCUAUACUUGUUUUAGGAUAAUUAAAUGCAAGAUUACCAUUACUUCUGGUCGAACUUGUGACUAAAGUAAAAUAGCUAGAGAUAUAGAGUUAUACUACUGACAAGCCUGAUUUUUUUCAUGGUAUGGCUUCCAUUAAUUAUAUUUUCUCAUGCAUAUAUUUUUUAAAAUUUGUACAUCACGUCAUGUUUGAUACGAAAUCUUCCGGUGUGAAGCUAUGUUGCGAUUCCUGCCUUCCGAAACCGAAUUCUUCUCGCCAACACCACAAAAUAUUCGAAUCCGGUCACAAAAUCUUGCAAGAAUUUCGUACAUUCACCCUGGAACUGAAGAAACGGCCAAGCUGUAUACGGCGUCUUUCCGCAAUUUCAAACAUGCUAACAAAUUGCGAAAUGGAACUUAUGUGUCAGUAUUGUUUCUGCUAUUUGGAGAAAACCAUGCUAGUGAACCGGAAGACGGGUUGGAAACCAUGUUGUGACGGAUGCGACGUGCUGUAUAUGAAAUCGUAUGAAAAUCAGGGUUCCAUACGUUUCCAAAUGAUGGACGAAGUUGUUUCUCUAAUUGUGAAAGUAUUGGAAAAGUUAUUAAAGUAUUGUACUCAACGUAAAGUUCCAGUUGGUUUGGACCAAGAUGCUAUAGGGGGCACGACAAUGGAGGAAGGUAAUUGUGGAGUCUCACAUUUUAAGAAGGAAGGAAGAAAAUGUAAGCGUUUCUAUUAAGAAAGAUGAAUAAAUUGUUGCUUCUUUACUGGAUAUUUAUGUGAGCGGAUGCAAGGAUCACACAUAACUCGAUAUACAGAUGUGUACAUCCAGUACAUAUUUAUGAAUAGACAUACAUGCUAAUAAAUAAUUGACAUACAUAUUUAGUUAUUUAAAUACAUACAUAUGUACAUGUUAAAUUUCGCGUAAGUUCUGGAAAUUAAAGGCUUGUGUAUAUAAAUCUGCUAAGAGUUAUGCAGGUAUUUAAAAAAUUGAAAUUUUUCCGGAUGCAUGGGGCAUUGAAUUUAUUACCAGUGUACGUAUGUAUGCCACACGGUCGUAGGAAAUAAAUCCAACCAAAUUUAAAGUCUAACUUGAGCUUCGAACUGACAUAUU